CACAGCGAAAGGUGCUUGCACCUUUCAAGUGAGUGGCGAACGCGUGAGUAACACGUGGACAACCUGCCUCAAGGCUGGGGAUAACAUUUGGAAACAGAUGCUAAUACCGAAUGAAACUUAGUGUCGCAUGACACGAAGUUAAAAGGCGCUUUGGCGUCACCUAGAGAUGGAUCCGCGGUGCAUUAGUUAGUUGGUGGGGUAAAGGCCUACCAAGACAAUGAUGCAUAGCCGAGUUGAGAGACUGAUCGGCCACAUUGGGACUGAGACACGGCCCAAACUCCUACGGGAGGCUGCAGUAGGGAAUCUUCCACAAUGGGCGAAAGCCUGAUGGAGCAACGCCGCGUGUGUGAUGAAGGCUUUCGGGUCGUAAAGCACUGUUGUAUGGGAAGAACAGCUAGAAUAGGGAAUGAUUUUAGUUUGACGGUACCAUACCAGAAAGGGACGGCUAAAUACGUGCCAGCAGCCGCGGUAAUACGUAUGUCCCGAGCGUUAUCCGGAUUUAUUGGGCGUAAAGCGAGCGCAGACGGUUGAUUAAGUCUGAUGUGAAAGCCCGGAGCUCAACUCCGGAAUGGCAUUGGAAACUGGUUAACUUGAGUGCAGUAGAGGUAAGUGGAACUCCAUGUGUAGCGGUGGAAUGCGUAGAUAUAUGGAAGAACACCAGUGGCGAAGGCGGCUUACUGGACUGUAACUGACGUUGAGGCUCGAAAGUGUGGGUAGCAAACAGGAUUAGAUACCCUGGUAGUCCACACCGUAAACGAUGAACACUAGGUGUUAGGAGGUUUCCGCCUCUU
rnacentral:rRNA from 1 species